CUUCACUUUCUCUGACCACAAUCCUCAGAUGCCUGAACAAUCUGGCAUCUUUCACAUCUUGGAUGAAGUCUUUCAUGAGCAAGGCAUAAGAUGUGAAGUACUGAAUCUGAUGAGAGUGAUGCUGCUCAAGUGCAAUAAGGGAUAUAGCACUGGUGGAUAAGGUCGAGCAAAUGGUUACCUUCUUGGCUGAACUUCUCUCUGAGAAAGGCCCGUUCUCCUGGUAACAUGUUUUUGAAGAAACCGAGUGCAAGCUCGGUUAGAGUACACUGUGCUGGAAUGGGCACAAUCACGAACAGACUCUGAAGAACCAUCCAUGGAAUCUGGUUUUCUAACAAAAUGAGGUUUUUCCUGACUGCAAAGAACAGCUCGGAGGUGAAGAUGGGAUCACCACGGCGUCUCAGACCCUUAAAAGCAUAUUUUAAGAAAAGCUCGAUGAUGAAGCAGCCAUCAAGGAGCAUUAUUUCCACAAACUCGUCGCUGGUGAGAUUGAGUGUUUCUUCAUAGCAGUUUCUUGCUGUUUGCUCUAUAUCUCUCAGCGCCAUCACACAUUCGUGCAACGUUGCUUCCAGGUUCGGCUUGCGACUGAGCAGAGUAUAAAGGAACAUUGUGUGAGCUCCUGAUAUAUAUUUCAUCCUCAGGAACAUUAUCUGAGCGCCUAAGUUUCACCGGCACUCUGAAGAUAGAUUUCAAAGAUGAAAUGGCUUCUAUCUUUUCUUUAAUGUCACAUGCAAGUUUUCUGUCUCUCUCCUUGAAACUACCAGUUUCCAUCUAUGACCAGACUUCCCUGUUUACACGGAAAAUUGAUACCUGAAAGCCUCUAAUCUGUAAGUAAUUAUACUGUGCAACAUGAUUUAUGCAUGUUUUGAUACAUAUACGUAUAUGCAACAUGAUUUGAAGUUAGCCGUACCUACACAUGUAGCAAAAUAUAACCAUUUACAUUAUCCUAAAGUACUGAGAACAGGAGGAGGAUAGAGCCUUCAGUUUCCAAAUUCUAGGAAGCAUGUGCAUCUCUGAAAGGGAAUUAUGCAUGUUUGUGUCAAGUAGACGUUUUUCUUUCCAUACAUCGUGUCAAGUAAACGUUGAAAGCUUGUGUUAAACACUAAGCAACACAUUUAAUAACUAAGGAAUACUUUAGAAUUCGUUGUGUUCCAGUGUUGUUGUCUUGCUGCGCUUUGUAUGUGUGUCAGUUUUCAUGUUUCUGAGCUCUUCCUAAGCUAUUGAGAACUUCAUUGAGAUGAGGAAGGAACAGUUUGCUUUUACCUGGCAUUCCAUGCACCUAGCCAUCUAUGUGCCUUCAGAUGUCAUUUUAGAAUUUAUACACUUCAAUUUUUAAUUCCCAUGAGGGUAAAAUUUUCAAAUGGCAUCUUCAUGGUAUUGAGAAUGAUUGAUAACUUUACAUGAAAUCAAAUUCCAAGAAUCAACAUAGGAAGAUGAGUCCUUGCUUUCUAGCUUCAAAAUGAUUCUCUCUUUAACUAAACAGCAGGCUAAGUCGUCAGUGAAAAUGCUAAGGCAUGAAGUCAUGCUAUUUUGUGAAUCAAAUUGUUUGAAUUGGAUAAUACUUCCACAGACUUCUUAGAGAAGAGGCAGGGAGCAAACCGUCUAUUUUGAUUAAGCCAGACAUGCAGAACAAAUCAAACCAGGAGAGAACUUUUUCAAAUGGGUCAAAGGAUAAAGCUAAUUUUAAUUAUGAUUUUCUGUUUUCUAUUUUUUCCCCCUUCUUUGUCGCUUUUCUGACUGACAAAGUCUUGAUUUAAAUUUGGGACCCAAUCCGUAAUUACAAGAGACAGCCCGUUACCAUUACUUUUUUUUAUUCAAAUAAUAAUAAUAAUAUUGUAUUUCUUGAAAUUAAGAUAAAAUGAAAAUGUGCUCGAGUCCAGCAGGAUGCUCCAGCACAUGAGAGAACCCAGAUUGCCUAGCAGGAUGAUUUAGUGGCUAAACUUCGGUCUUUAGGUAAAUGUACUAAUAAAUCACGUGAUAUCUUUUACACACACUUUCAUCCUAAUCUGUUGCCGACUUGAGACAUGACAUUUGUUGAGGUAAAGAAGUGAUCUUGCAUUCUAUAUAUCAAUUUCAUAGCUAGAACCCCAAUGCUGAGAAGUAAAACAUUUUUUCUACUUUCUUACUUAAUUAGAAAACAUGCAAAGCGCAGUUUCCAGACAGAAUGCAAAGAUUGACUACUGAAAUCUCAAGUGGGGGAAAAAGAAAAGAAAAGAAAAGAAAAGAAAAGUACAGACCUGGAUGUGAGCUGUUUAAGUUCGCAAAUAAUGACUUUCUGCCGCAAACCUGCUUCUUUAUUUUGGCGCCAGCACUACAGCCAGAACUGUUGCAUCCAUGACAUAUUUUGUAUUGACGCCUGAGCAAUGGAAGAAUUUAUAUACCUUGCCAAAACUACAGGAACCACCAUAACUGAAGAAAGAAAGUUCACUGGAAUCCAAGAUAACUUGGGGAGAAUGGUAAGAAUAACUGAUGCGGUAAACCACUGAGUGAGGAAAAGAGAAAGUGUGUGUGACAGAGAUGUCAUUUCAUCAGAAGCUGAAUGAGCUAAUGGUCAGGUAAGAAAGACCGAGAGAAAGCAAAGCCGGUUCUUAAUAAAGAAAAGAAUGAUUACUUGACAGAAAAUUCAAGAAUUAUUUGCAGAAUUAGUACGACUCAGAAUAUUUGCCGACCACAGUCACCCGCUUCUUUCUUCUCUUAUUUCCAGUCUGUUUUUGCUUCUUUUCUUUGGUGAAUGGGAUUCUUCCAACAAAUUUUGCUCAAGAAGCUGAGACAGCUGCACAAUAUCAGGUCGUGAUCGUGACUCAUGAGAUCUUUUCGCAAAGAUUUCUUUUGGUCUUUGUACAAAACAGGAGGAACACGUUUUGAAUGUCUGCCCCAUAAAAUAUGUAGGAGAGGGAAAACGCUUGAACCAGACACUUGACGAGUUCAGCAGCCAAGCUUUUUCCAAAAUAAGUAAAUUUUCCCGUUACGGAUGGGUUAUAAAGCUAUCAUAUAAAAGCUAUAAAGCAGAUACAUUUCAAGAUUCGGGUCGCAUUCCUGUUGCACUUGCGUGGAACGCUACAUGGUCUGUCUGUCACAUAUGACAUGGUUCUUCAAAAACGAUCCUUGGUCACUUCAUGUUUACUAUUUCAAUGUGCGUGUCGUGUAAGAAAUAUGAACCACAAAAGCAAUUGCAUGGCCAUAUGUAAAAGAUGUAAAAUUCCAUACUAAAUUGAUGAUGGUGUGCCCUCCA